UCGAGAAUAUUCGACAAUGGGCGAAAGCCUGAUCGAGCGACGCCGCGUGCAGGAUGAAGUGCUUCGGUAUGUAAACUGCUUUUGUAGACCAGAAAGUUUAUUGAUCGGUCUAAGAAUAAGAGGUUGCUAAACUCGUGCCAGCAGCAGCGGUAAUACGAGUGCCUCGAGCGUUAUCCGGAAUCAUUGGGCGUAAAGGGUGUGCAGGCGGUCUGAUUAGUCUUCUGUUAAAUUCUUCGGCUUAACCGGGGACAUGCAGGGGAAACGGUCAGACUCGAGGAUGCGAGAGGUUAACGGAACUCAUAGUGUAGCGGUGAAAUGCGUUGAUAUUAUGGGGAACACCAAAUGCGAAGGCAGUUAACUGGAGCACUCCUGACGCUGAGACACGAAAGCGUGGGUAGCG
rnacentral:rRNA from 1 species